UAUGAUGAACGAUCCCGCCUCGCUAUCCACACACAACGACACAUAGCCCUCCACAUACAUCCAUGCCAUCUGCACCAGCGUCAUCGUCUCCGGCGUCGCCACCUCAGCACGUGGUGCUCGAGGAUGAUGGUGAGUACUUCGACGAGGACCCCACCGUAGGCAGAGGCGUGCCGAAGGACACGGCGGGCGAGAUGGCGUGGAAGCCGAUGCAGCCAGUUGCCGCUUCGGAUGGUUUCAUGGCGGCCAUCAAACAGAGCCUGUUGGGCGCCAAAGGCCCUGCUCCCCCCACAACCCAGUAGGACGCGUGCGUGUGGGCUUGUGUGCUCGUACCACUGGUUUUCGCUCCGUCCACGCAGCCGCACACACCCGGGUACACAUGCGCGCGCCCAUCACUCCAUCUUGGCCCCCCUCCACUGCGUCGAUAUUCUCAUGGUGAGUGGCGGGUCGCGGUGGUGAUGGUAGGGAGGGACGCGAAGGGGAUGAGCACGCGCCCGUGCGCGUGCCAAUCCUCCAUCACCGUUUCCAUCGCUGAGCAGCGGCAGCGAAAGGGAUACGGCACGAAAGGCGCAUGAAUGCCCAACAGAGAGAGGCGGGGAGGGCGUCUAAGAAAGGAGAGCGAUUAAAGGGAUGACGAAGGGCGUGUGCGUAUGUGUGUGUGUGUGUAGUGGGUGCACGCCAUAGACGGAUACGCCUGUGCCCCUCACACAAGCGGGCUGCUCUUCCAUCCUUCCCCAAUGUGGCACUGCUUGCGCGAUUCACUUCCUUUUUUCGGCAGUCUCUCUCUCUCUGUCUGUCUGUGUUUACACGCUGCUGUCAGCGCGCUCGGCCAAAGCAGCGGAUCAUCGUAGACAUGCACGCAUCCUCCUCUCGCCCUCU
rnacentral:misc_RNA from 1 species